rnacentral:rRNA from 1 species
AUUGAACGCUGGCGGCAGGCCUAACACAUGCAAGUCGAGCGAGCGGCGGACGGGUGAGUGAUGUCUGGGAAACUGCCUGAUGGAGGGGGAUAACUACUGGAACCGGUAGCUAAUACCGCAUACUCUCAGAUGUGCCCAGCUGGGAUUAGCUAGUAGGUGGGGUAACGGCUCACCUAGGCGACGAGCCCUAGCUGGUCUGAGAGGAUGAACAACCACACUGGAACUGCGACACGGUCAAGACUCCUGCGGGAGGCAGCAGUGGGGAAUAUGGCACUAUGGGCGCGGGCCUGGUGCAGCCAUGCCGGUUGUGUGAAGAAGGCCGUCGGGUUGUAAAGCACUUUCAGCGGGGAGGCGUUACCCGCAGAAGAAGCACCGGCUAACUCCGUGCCAGCAGCCGCGGUAAUUC